GACAGAGGGGGCAAGCGUUGCUCGGAAUUACUGGGCGUAAAGGGCGCGUAGGCGGGAUGGCAAGUCGGUCGUGAAAUCCCUCGGCUCAACCGAGGAACGUCGAUCGAUACUGCUGUUCUUGAGGAUUGCAGAGGAGACUGGAAUUCCCGGUGUAGCGGUGAAAUGUGUAGAGAUCGGGAGGAACACCAGUGGCGAAGGCGGGUCUCUGGGCAAUUCCUGACGCUGAGGCGCGAAAGCGUGGGGAGCAAACGGG
rnacentral:rRNA from 1 species